AAAAAGGCCCUUUUCAGGGCCACUGCAACCCUCCCGCGUAAGAGUUG
rfam:Aedes albopictus isolate Foshan contig267937, whole genome shotgun sequence.